AAACCACAGUUUAUUUAUUUACAUGAAAAUGUAAACUUUUUCUUUUCUUUUUACCGAAGUGAGGAAAAGAAAGAAAGAAAGAAAAUAGGACGUGUCAAAACUGUAGUAUGUUUCCCUCCGCAUCUACAGCACGAAGACUUGUUACGUGGGGGCUGGCAAACGGCAGUGAUACACAUUUUGCACCCAAGGGAAAAGAAAGGGGGCAAUAGGGGGAGAGCAGAGCAAACACACCGCGUCAGCAGCGCGCUGCUGGGAAGGAGCCGAGCCUCUGACGUCAUGUAAACACCAUCAUAUCAACCGGCCCAAAAUCUUCGGACAGAACCACCCGCACCUCUCAGCCCAGAGGGGGCCGAAGUUGGGGCAGCUCUAGUGGUCGGUGGGGAGAAUGGGUUUAAUAGGAAGGAUAAAUGUUGCAUCAGCUAAGGUUGGCCCCCGCCCUCCUUCGUCACCGAAGGGCUGGGAUGCACUUUUAAUUAGAAAUUAAUUAAUGAGCAGCUGCUUCUUCCCACCCCACAGUAAUAAUUAGUCUCAAUUACAAACAAGACAUAUGAAGGGACACACGACUGAGUCUUCAUUUAAGAUUUAAUCAACAGUUAAAAUUAGCGCUAACGCUGCCAAUAAAGCCCGUGACAUACGGCCCUGCGUUCUUUUUCCAGCCUCUCUUCCCGGCGUGUGAUUACAGCUGGAAGACUGCCUCCCAGAAACGAAUCUGCCCACACUGACAACUCGAUUGAGGGUGAUUGAUGACUAUCUGGAGACCACAGUACACAUAAUAUAAUAUCUGCUGCGUAAUUGCUUUAAUUUACAGAUGAAAAUAGUACUUCUCGCACGGAGUUAGACUACAGCUAUCGGCUCUUUAUGGCGCUUUGGAGUGUUUGCAAAUAAAGGCAAUCAGAUGCAGCACAUGCAAAUUGCGCUGACAGCUCGGGAGAGACGAGUGGAGAGCGGCAACCAAACGGCAUUCAUAACCGGGUCUGAAUUCCGUAUUGAUUUUGGGGAGCGGGGAGAAAACGCCAAUGCUUUCCUCACCUGAGCUGCCAAUUUCUCUUUCUCCCUGGGAACAGCAAUAACUUAGCCAUUGGGGUUCUGUGACAGAACCGCUCCUUUAUUCCUCCCUCGGCCCCAGGACCUAAUGGCACUUGCAGUUACUAUUUACAAGCAGCCCCCGUCCACGCGGCGCGCAUCGCUCUGGCCGAACUCAGCGCUCUGCCCGCAGCGCUCAGCACCGCUCGGUGCCCCCGGGCGGAUGGCGCCGGGGCUCUUCGCUACAACCCCUCAGUCGGACCACGCGGUGCUGGGGACGAGAACAGUUGGCACUUAUCUCAAGAGUGGCUGAGGGUGAAGCACUAUAAUUAGCCGAGAGCCGGGGAACCGCCUGCAGAAGUGCUCGCAGUCCUCCAGGCUGGAAGUUUGGGAGACGUCCUGUUGUUGGUUGCUUUAUGUUCUUUUUUCCUCCCCUUUUUUGAUACUACCGCAGAUGUUAACUGCGCAGCGGCCCGCACGGCACUAUAGGUUUGAUAUGUAAAUGAGUCUAUUAAACUUUAAAACGCGAGGUGAAA